CCCAGUGACUACGGGUUCAACGGCCGCGGUAUUUUGACCGUGCAAAGGUAGCGCAAUCACUUGUCUUUUAAAUAAAGACCUGUAUGAACGGCUAAACGAGGGCUUAGCUGUCUCCCCCUUCUAGUCAGUGAAAUUGAUCUAUCCGUGCAGAAGCGGAUAUGCCUAUACAAGACGAGAAGACCCUUUGGAGCUUAAGGUACAAAACUUAACCACGUUAAACAACCCCAUAAAAGACCAGAACUUAGUGGAACCUAAGAUUUUACCUUCGGUUGGGGCGACCACGGAGGAAAACCAAGCCUCCGAGCGGAAGGGGUCAAUACCCUAAACCUAAGAGAGCCAUCUCUAAGCCGCAGAACAUCUGACCAAUAAUGAUCCGGCAUACAGCCGAUCAGCGAACCAAGUUACCCUAGGGAUAACAGCGCAAUCCUCUCCCAGAGUCCAUAUCGACGAGGGGGUUUACGACCUCGAUGUUGGAUCAGGACAUCCUAAUGGUGCAGCCGCUAUUAAGGGUUCGUUUGUUCAACGAUUAAAGUCCU
rnacentral:rRNA from 1 species